AUAUAUAAGUCGCUUGGACACCAACAGAGCUCAGUUAUCCAUUGUUAGUGCGACGGUCAUCCCUACUUGUCAAGCUUACAAAACAGGAAACGUUCUCCAUUUUUUCGCAGCAGCUAUAACGAUAGCCCCACCUAAGCCACCGUUUAAUUCAAAAUGAAACACACAAGCACAGUUGUAUUUUUCAUCAUUCUUAUUUCAUUUGUGUUGCUCAGCAACCAGAUGGGCGUUCAAGGAAUGCCACAAGAUCAAGAUCCUAGCUGCAAUUGCAAGAAAAACUAUCAACCAGUUUGUGGAACAGACGGCAAAACGUACUCCAACGAAUGUGUAUUGGGUGUCAAGACAAAGGGUUUGUGCGGAAAUGCAAAGUCUUCUGUUACGAAGGCUCACGACGGUGAAUGCAAAACCGCGACCGAAGUUUGAAGAUCGCUGAACGUUUUUCCUCUCUCCACGAAUGACAACUAAAAUUGUUUUAGUUUUUAAUCUUCUGAUAUUUAAAAAAUGCAACAAAAUAAACAAAAGCUUCUUGUUAUACCUCCACGUAAGCUUGAUGAAAUUCCAUUAUUCUGUAUUACGCUUUGGCUUUAUGUACCCCUAAUUACAAUAUACUAUGAAAAAGGCA